GUAGGCUGAGGACACAGGAGGGAAAACACAGGGCAAACAGAAAACCAAAAACCCAGAAACACAAUACUCUUAUUUAUCCACUAAGCCAAUUGUAUCAGAGUCUGAUGGUAAAGUCCUGCUAGCCCAUUUAAAUUCACGAUAUAUAAGCUCCUGAGGUAAUGUCAUAAACUCUGGUUUAAAGGCACUAUGAGAUGGCAGUAGCAAAAUUUGCCUCAAACAAAGACAGGAGCAUUCAAUCCUGGUUAAUACAGACUGGCAUAGCUUGACAAAAUAUACAUGAAAAGUACACAAAUAACACUUCUCCCACUCAGUCCAGUCUUCACAAAACAUGGAGAAAAGUCUGAGGGCAUCUGGUGGACUGGUGGAAAAUGGCAAGUCUGGGAAGUAAGAAGAACGAACAUGGCCGGGAAGUCGUAAUGCGGAGAGCUGGGGAUGAGAGUGUGUGGCUGCAGAGAAGGACUGAGGAGCAGAUUGUGACCUUCCUUCUUAUUUUAGUUCAAGCGAAACCACCAAGCAAUCGACCACAAGCCAGCCUACCAUUACCACCACCCUUCAAUUGACCCAAAAGUACCCCAAAAAUGGGAAAGAUGCCAAAUGACUUAACUGGGUAGUAGCAGAAUUUAUUUUUUGUCUGGAUGAGGUACCUGUGUAUACUGUGGAAAAAACUGGCUUCAGGAGUCUUGUGUGUGAGUUGGACAAACGGUAUGACAUGCCAAGAAAAAACUACUUUAUGUACACUGAAAUACCAAAGCUCUACCAAGAGACCAGAAGUAUCCUUGCUGCACAACUGGCAGAGAAACAAUUCUACGCAUGCACAACAGAUCUAUGGACAAGCAGAGCUGUAGACACCUACAUGGCUGUUACCAUCCAGUUUAUCAGUGUAUCAUGGGAGAUGCAGUCUUGGUGUUUAGGCCGUACAGCAAUGUAUUCUGACCGCCUGACUGAAGCCUUAGAAGAAACUGUUAGUGAAACAUGGGAAUUGGACAUGUCUGUCCAGGCUCUGUAGAACAGCCUCAAUCUUCUCUACGUUAAACAAACUUACAAGAUCACUGAAAGAGAAACAAGAGGCACUGCAGGUUGCAGAGUACAGGCUCAUUCAUGAUGAGCCCACCAGAUGGAACUCGGCUUUCAGCAUGGUGGACAGGUUCUGUGAGCAGCAGCAGUCCUGGCGGAGAACCACAAAAAUUAUCACCUCAUACCCAAAGACACAGACAUCACCAUCUUGGAAACAGUGAGGGAUGUUCUAGAUCCUCUGAAUGCCUUCACAGAUGCUUUGAGGGGAAAGAAAGAUCCAACUCUCUCCUCUGUCCUGUCUCUACUAUGGAAGAUCCAUUCCUGUCUAGCAGGCAAAGAUCCUGAUGAGACACUUACAUGUGGCAUGAAAAGAAAGAUAAGAGAUGACAUAAAGAGGAGAUAUGAAGAUCCUAGGCCACAAUUUGUGCUCAACACAGCAACAUAUCUUGAUCCAAGGUUUAAGAUGACCAUUGUGCCAAUGGAAAAGGAGGUGAAGGAUGAGGUCCUACAGGGAGCUCUCAUGGCUGACCUCCAUAGAGGAGAACAGGCAGCAGAAAAACAGGCCUGAAAAGCUUUCUGUCCAGCAUAACUUUGGAAAAGAGGGGGACAACAAUACAAUCUCAGAGAGUGGAUCUCAAAAAGAACCCCACUGAAAGAGUCAUGAAUGAAUUUGAGGUCUAAUGCCAAAGUAAAGAGAUACAUGCAGUGGAGCACUUUCCUGGUGGAAAGAUCAUGAAAAAAGCCUGUCCAUCCUUGCAAAUUGUGCAAAAAGAUAUAUGUGUAUUGCAGCUUCCACUUGUGCCUCAGAAUGUGUUUUAAGCACCUCUGUCAUCAUUGCCGGUCCCAGGCACAUAAGGCCGUCAGAGAAGCAUGUGGAUAUACUUGUAUUCUUGGCCAAGAACCUAAAACAGGCAAAGAACCUGUCUUAAACAUAGACUGAUAUCACAGGAUAUUGUGAAGAGUGCAAUGUGCAUGCCUACUUGAAACGUGAAAGUGUUCUAAUUUGGAAAGACUUUAUUAUAGAAAGAUGCUGUAUUCUGUUCUUAAAAUGUUUUAUACUUUUGAAAGAUUCUUUUUUUUCAAAUUGCUUUAUUUCAUAUAUAUUUUUUCAGUUUAAGACUUGUCCAGCAAUCUGAGAGUUUUACAAGGUUGUUAAUAAACUGUGAUUUCGAAAAUGUGA